AGAGAGAGAGAGAGCACGAGCACGCACGAUCGACAAAAACAUGCUGAAUCAAAACUUUUUAAAAUCCUCAAUCAAUAUUUGAGUUACCUUUGCACACCGGAGAAAGGAUGACACAAUAGCUAAAGGAUUUCUCUUAGACGGACUGGAAGAUCAUUCGUCAUCUCCCGAAUCUGUUUUUUCAAUGACUUUUUUCAUCCAGCGCCGCAUUCGGAACAACUUUUAGAACAAGCAAAAGAAAUCCAUGAAGGAAUUUUUGGAGGGCUCACUUAGUACGAGAGUGUUUUCCAAGGCGGACGAUGAUGUCAUUGAUUGUGAAGUUCUUGUUCCACGGCGGGUAGAGAAUGCAGUGGGCAGCGGUGAGAAUCCAUUCAUCACUGAUCAGACUGGCUCCACACAGCAGCUCCUGAGGGCUACGCUUAUACAGCAUCACCUGCCUGCAAAUCACAUCAAACAACCAUUGCAAAGAGGCUUUUUAUCACUUUCCAGAACAUUUACAGUUACUGUUCCUCACUGAAGGAACUCUCUCCAAUCACAUACAGAUUUCUGAAACACAAGCAAUGUUAAAAACCUAUAAUAGCUUGUAUUUCUCUAUCAAAAUGAGAAGCUUUGUAUUUGAAGCACUGUGAGUAUUGUUUCUUUACAAUGAAUCACUUGAUGUCUCCUCUUUGUAAGUCACUUUUUAUAAAAUCACCUGCUUAAUGUCUAAAGCAGGCAUGCU
rnacentral:lncRNA from 1 species